rfam:Pseudogymnoascus sp. 23342-1-I1 unplaced genomic scaffold scaffold_15, whole genome shotgun sequence.
GGGCGCUUGGUCUAGGGGUAUGAUUUCCCCUUCGCAGAUCAUGUGGAUACAUCCACUUGUUUCUAGUAUGGGGAAGGUCGUGGGUUCAAUUCCCACAGUGUCCA